GUGAGCUUCAGCCGGGACUGUAGGCGGGAAAACAAUGUAAAGAUGGUUCGUGUGUAGGAUACGUAAUAGUGUUCACGUUAGAGGGAUAUGCUUUAGUCAAGGAGGCCAACCGAUAGCCUUGGAACAAACAAAGGGCUUCAAAUUGCUCUGAAGUGAAACGCAUUGGCGGAGAGUUGCAUCACCGCGGCUUUUUUCCGCAAAGAAACGUAACAGAGGUAUAAAUACGUUCUUGGGCUUGGGCCUUGGGGUUCAUAAAAACGUAUAACUUUGAAUUAGUUAUUACAUAUGUGUAUUUGUAUUAUUUUAUUCAGUUAUCUUGAAUUCCCGUGUAUUCAUUUGCAUCAAAUUAAAUUCAGGUUUGUGUCAAUUAGUAAUAAAAUGGUUUCUCACAAAUAAGGACAACAAAACUCUACAGUUAAUCUCACUCAUGGAUGAUUGGAAUGGGCAGCAUAAAACCCUGAUCAGACUAUCCGUAGGAAAAACUGUUGCGACUUUCCGGAAGCCACAGCAUUUAAGAAACAAAAACCAACCCCCCCCCCCUACAUACUGAAAUGAACAGGAAGGUCAAAGUCCCCGGUAAUAAAAGCGUUUUACUUCCAGUGUGGCAACACCAUAAAUACUUAAAGGCUAUAUAACGCCUGCUUGGAGGCAAGGUGGCAGCAGAUGCCGACAGGUUAACUUGUCCAACCGCCCACAGGAGAUAAGACGACUUUGUGCACCGUAAUCCUCUCGCAUGCAGAAAGUCUGACCCGGCUGUCGCACGCACUCAGGGGGGUCAGCCUGCAGCGGAGACGUACGUUUUACUGGCAUAAUGACCGUCUCAGACUAGCAUCAGCUUGGGAGUCCUCAGACUGCCGGAUUUCAGGUGAAGAUGACUCAUCCAAGCGAAACCUGAAGAAUUUCACCAAUCGUAAAAUAAGACAUAAUAUAGACUCGCAAGCACUUGGGAGCGUAACCAAUCACAGCAGAGGAGUAAAUGAAACCGACCGUUUGGAUUCUGGAAGAUCUAGAAAGCUUUCUGUGUCUCUAAAUGUAUUCUUUUUUUUUUAAUAAUGUGAUUAUCAGGGAUGGCCGAAUAUUAUUGGUACUGAUAAUUAUCUACCCGAUGUCAGCAUAAAAAUGCGAUAUUGGUAUCAGAUUUUUCCCCGAUCAUGAAAAACGAUAUUUAAAAAAAAUGCUGUAUACAACAAAUGUGGUGUUCAUUCCACCACACCAGGAGAUACGCCAUGUUACACAUAUUGUUAGCGGCUGAUAUCUGUAUCAGUUUUCGGUAAAAAAAAAAAAGCCUUUCACACUGACAUUACCAUCGACUAGCGACGAGUGGCUAUGCAUUUGUUUGAAUGCGUUUAGUAAUCAUGUGAGGAAUAUUGUGGGAUUAAACCUGGAUUCUCUCUUUUUGAAGAGAGAAACAGGAGGGUUCUGGAGCUGCGUCUAAUCUAACAAUUAAAACAGCCACUUUUGUUUGCACAUGCAACCUAAAAUAUAACCUAUGAUAAAUGCAAGACACUGUUGCUGAAAAUCAACAUAGAUUUAUCACCGCCAGAUUAGCCAGCAUUAACACCAUUAAGACCAUGGAAUCAUCCCCAGAUAGAAGCCAAGCGUCAGCCCGUGUGACAGGACCAUGCUGCCUAUUUGAGGGCAGGGGUGUCCAACCUGCUGCCCGGGGGGCUUUUGUUUGUUUGUUUUUUUAAUUGGCCCACAGAACAUUCUAAUAAUAUAAUUUAAUAAGAAAACUUCUUAUCAAUCAGUAGUAGUUUUACAAAAAAAUUGUCAAAUAUUAAAGAGAAAAAAAAGUUGAGAAUAAUGAGAAUAAUAUGUAUGUAGUAUGAGAAUAAUUUCCUCAUUUCAGUAGCAUUAAGUUGAAAUAUUAAAGAAAGACAUUCAUUUUAAAGUGGGAAUAUUGUGGGGGUGGGGGGAACAUUAAAUAAAUUUAAAAUUAUAUUAUGGAAAAAAUAACAUUAAGAGAGCAAGAUCAAAAUAUGACGGUGAAAUAGCUGGUGGGUGGUAGAUUUUUUUAAAGCUGUCAUUUUAUGAGAAUAAUCUCAUAAUAUGAGGAAUAUUAUAUAUGAGAAAAAAUAUUUUAGUCGCAGAGUUGAGAAAUUUAAGAAAAAAAUUAAAUGUCAAUGGAAAAUGAGGUUGGAAAAAAGUUACAACAUUAUGGGAAUAAAGUCUAAAUAUUAUGGGAUGAAAGUCAUGCUAUUGCAAGAAGAAAUUGUACCAAUUUUAUGUAACAUUGUGGAAAAACUUAUAAUGUUAUGGCAAUAAAGUCAAAAUAUUAUGGCAAUAAAGUCUUAUUCAUGAAAAUGCACGGGAGGACAGUUCAAAUAGCUGGGGAAACUAAAUAAAGCUUAUGAAAAUAAACUAGUAUAUAAGUUAUGAUAAAAAAUAUUUUAGUAGAGUUAUUGAAAUAUUAAAGAAAAAUGCUUUUAAAAAGUUUUUUAAAUAAAAUUGUAAUUUUUGGCAAAAUUAGGUUGAGAAAGGUUAUUAUAUUAUGGGAAUAAAGUCAAAAUAUUAUGGCAUUAAAGUCAUAUUAUGAGAAGAAACUUUACAAAGGUUAUUUGAGAAGAAAAUGAAGGAGAUAAGCAAAAAUGAGGGAAAAAGAGCAAAGUUGAUAUUAAUAAUAGACAUUUCCACCUAUAUUACAAAGCUUAGAUGCCAUAUUUUGUUUUUAUAUACAUUUAAUUUUUCAGUAAGUGGCCCCCACUGGACACCCCCGCGUUAGAGUGAAUUUUUUUCAAAAACAGUAUGAGAAUGAUGACGACAACGAUAAGCUGUCAUGUCACACGGACCUGCAGUCUGCAGAGAACACAAGCUCGCCAAAAGCAACAACGAACACCUUGCAUGGAGCUAGGUCUGAUUGACGUCACUCCAUCUAGGAGGAAAGGAGUUAUGGGCUCAUAGCGGAAAGACCACCACCGCGGCAGCAACAGGAAGAGGCUCGAUUUUCCCAAAGUCAAGACGCGCUAUCCUUGCUAUCCUCAACACUUGGCUGCGGCGAGCCACCGUUCAAACUCUCCUCGGACCCGUGACAGCCCGUCUCCUGAGACUCCUCCGCUGACAUCUUCCCCGAGUCUGUGUCACCACUACUCUCAGACAUGCCUGGAAACAAGAGACAGGAGAUUUCAUGAAUGGGUCCUUGUGCCUCAUCAUCAUACCCGACCAGGCUCGCCCCGCUCCCAAGUCGUCUCAGGUUCCUUCUCGUAAAAUUGCAGCUUUUUAGUCAUUGUACAUGUUGAUGUUUUUCCUCAUGUUAUAACAUGUACUAUAUGGUAAACUGUGGUAAAAGGCACUGUUAGCAUGAAUUAGUUUCAGGCUGAGCAGCGACAAAUAUGCACGUUAGCACUCAGCAACGUCAUCAAAUCUUACCUUGACACAUUCCCACACAGUAUCGGCAUUUGGAACCAAGUAUCAGGUGCAUGAAAAAAAGGGGAACAAAUACGGUAUAGCGGUGUCUGUGCAGCUGGGAGAAAGUUAGAUGGUGUGUUCAAGGCCCAUGAAACAAAGUGGCACGGGUCGCAGCUCGUGACAACCAUGCAGAAAGUAUGCGACUUGUAAAUGUAUAUUAUUUUUUUCAAUAAAAUAACAGCCCAUAGUUCCACAAUUAGUGGACAUUUACAUAACAUCAAUGUAGUUAUUUACAAAUUUAUUAUAGUUAUUUGAUUUUUUGUUAUCAUUGCACCUGAAAUUUUCCUGCAACCCGGCACCCAGUUUUUAAGACAUACCUAACAUAACCAACUUUAAAUUAUUUCAUUUAUCAUUUGUACCAGGCAGGGAACCACGUAGCACAAACGUCCGCCUCUAUGGUUGUCAUCACUUUUUUCCUGUUUGCCAUCACUGGAACGGUUCUGCAGAUAUUUGUGCUACUUUUGAGCCAUAUCCCCACUAUCCCACACUUUGCAUA